AUUGAACGCUGGCGGCAGGCCUAACACAUGCAAGUCGAGCGGGGUUUUCGGACCUAGCGGCGGACGGGUGAGUAAUGCGUAGGAAGCUGCCCGAUAGAGGGGGAUACCAGUUGGAAACGACUGUUAAUACCGCAUAAUGUCUACGGACCAAAGUGUGGGACCUUCGGGCCACAUGCUAUCGGAUGCGCCUACGUGGGAUUAGCUAGUUGGUGAGGUAAUGGCUCACCAAGGCGACGAUCUCUAGCUGGUUUGAGAGGAUGAUCAGCCACACUGGAACUGAGACACGGUCCAGACUCCUACGGGAGGCAGCAGUGGGGAAUAUUGGACAAUGGGCGCAAGCCUGAUCCAGCCAUGCCGCGUGUGUGAAGAAGGCCUUCGGGUUGUAAAGCACUUUCAGCGAGGAGGAAGGGUGGUGUGUUAAUAGCACAUCAUUUUGACGUUACUCGCAGAAGAAGCACCGGCUAACUCUGUGCCAGCAGCCGCGGUAAUACAGAGGGUGCAAGCGUUAAUCGGAAUUACUGGGCGUAAAGCGCACGUAGGCGGUUUUUUAAGUCAGAUGUGAAAGCCCCGGGCUCAACCUGGGAAUUGCAUUUGAAACUGGGGAACUAGAGUGUGUGAGAGGGGGGUAGAAUUCCAAGUGUAGCGGUGAAAUGCGUAGAGAUUUGGAGGAAUACCAGUGGCGAAGGCGGCCCCCUGGCACAACACUGACGCUCAGGUGCGAAAGCGUGGGGAGCAAACAGGAUUAGAUACCCUGGUAGUCCACGCCGUAAACGAUGUCUACUAGCUGUUCGUGUCCUUGUGAUGUGAGUAGCGCAGCUAACGCACUAAGUAGACCGCCUGGGGA
rnacentral:rRNA from 1 species